rnacentral:rRNA from 1 species
UACGUAGGGGGCAAGCGUUGUCCGGAAUCAUUGGGCGUAAAGAGCGUGUAGGCGGCCUGGUAAGUCCGCUGUGAAAGUCCAGGGCUCAACCCUGGAAUGCCGGUGGAAACUGUCAGGCUCGAGUCCGGAAGAGGCGAGUGGAAUUCCUGGUGUAGCGGUGAAAUGCGCAGAUAUCAGGAGGAACACCAAUGGCGAAGGCAGAUCUCUGGGCCGUAACUGACGCUGAGGAGCGAAAGCAUGGGGAGCGAACAGGA